rnacentral:rRNA from 1 species
CUACGGAGGGUCCGAGCGUUAUCCGGAAUCAUUGGGUUUAAAGGGUCCGUAGGCGGGCAGCUCAGUCAGUGGUGAAAGUCUGUGGCCCAACCAUAGAAUUGCCAUUGAUACUGGUUGUCUUGAAUUAUUGUGAAGUGGUUAGAAUAAGUAGUGUAGCGGUGAAAUGCAUAGAUAUUACUUAGAAUACCGAUUGCGAAGGCAGAUCACUAACAAUAUAUUGACGCUGAGGGACGAAAGCGUGGGGAGCGAACAGGAUUAGAAACCCUAGUAGUCC